CUUCACUUUGCUGUCCACACAGCCUAAAUUCUCUACUCGUCUCAUGGAAGCCCCCUCCCCAUGGAGGACUCAUGGUAAACUUUGAUGGAGCUGUCCGAGAGCAUAAUGCUGCAGCAGGCUUUGUUGUCCGAGAUCAUUUAGGGACAUCCAGACUUGGUGCGCAUUCUGGCAGCUGAUGCCUACUCUGUGGCCUAUUCUAGACAUGGGAAGUGCUAUGUUUAGAUCUUUCUAUAUAAUUAUUCGAGCCCUUACAGGUUGGUUAGUCAGUGAAUUAUUGAGGCAUGCCAACCCACUUUGUCCUGUUGUUGUGGUAGGGUAUGUGGCCCAUGGUUUCAUGGCACGCACCCUUUACUAUCAUACUGAUUAACUCCCAUGCCCCAUUAUGCUUUGAUGGAUAUGCAAUGGCCGACAUUGGCCAAAUAUUCUCUUCUAAUGUCAGUUCUUGACCCAUGUACAUUUAAGCCUGUGGUUGGAUAUCAUUUCUAUAUUUCCAUGCAGAAAGGACCGUGUGUGCAGGAUUUGUAUGGACGCCUCUGUUGGGAUCCAGCCGCUUGGUGGAUAUUUUCCUUGGCGUUGGAAUCUGAAUUGGCUGAUGAUGAAUAAUCUUUCUGAAACUAUAUGCUGCUUCCAGAUUUAAUGUUAUAUUCAAUCCCAGAUCGGUCACAACAGGACAUCUCUAUUGUCUAGCAACAGCAACAAUUGAUGCGGCGUACUUCGAACCUUUGUGCAGUGGACUUUUUGACUCUCCUGGAGAGCAUGCUCAUCUCUUUUGUCAGCAAUUAGACUGUAGCUAUAGCAUUUUUGACAGGUUCUGUUGUGUAUUAUAUCAUAGCUGUGUCUCUUCCACUUCAUGUGUUUUUAUUAUUGAUCUGAGUCUAUUAGAUAUCCGGGGCUCUGUUUUUGGUUGUUUAUUAUUUUGUACUCUAAGAUGGAUCUUACUUGCUGAGUGAAGUUAUACGGUUGUCAGAAAAAAAAAAAAACCAUGCAGUGGCUUCCCACGCCAAUUUCAUAUCGCAAGUCCUCCAUACUUCCCCCAAUCUGCAUGGGAACGAUGAGAUCGAUGAAGCCCAUCGGGUUUUCCGAAAAUCCCUUCUCCCGACGUCCGUCUCUACACCAUGAUGAUCCCUAGCUACUCCCGAAUCGAUCGCACGAGGCUUUUCGACUUUUCAAUGAGAUUGCGGCCUGCGACGUGGCCUCCUGGAAUUCCAUGCUCAAAAGAUAUUCGACGAAAUGCCCGAGCGAAACGUGAUCUCUUGGAAAAUUAUCAUGAAUGGGCUGGCAAAGGUUGGUCGAAUUGAUGCUGCGGAGGAAUUGUUCUGGGGAAUGUCUCAGAAGGACACCGCUGCAUGGGCCUCUAUGAUAUCAUGGUACUGCAGCAAUGGUAGAAUUGCUCGUUUCGUACUUGAGAAAUUGCCGUGCCCCGAUUGAUUUAUUGGACUGUAUGCCCACUGCAAGCAGAUUGUGAACUCUUGCAAGUUAUUCUAUGAGAAUAGGGACAGGAAUUUGGUCUGUCUUGCAUCAUUAUCAUGCGAAUGAUCAUGAGCAAACUAAGAAAUAUGUGAGCAAGUAAAUAUCUUAUUCUUUGUUUUCUUUGU